UAAAAAAUAUAAGUAUGUCUCCUGUCAUAUUUAGGAUAUACUUAUAUUAAAA
rnacentral:pre_miRNA from 1 species